AACAAUCACUUCGGUGUGCGCUCUUGGGCGUCGAGUGGCGGACGGGUGAGUAAUGCCUGGGAAUCUACCCUAAUGUUGGGGACAACAUAUGGAAACGUAUGCUAAUACCGAAUGUGAUCUACGGAUUAAAGGUGCCCUCUCCUUGGAAGGUAUCGCAUUAGGAUGAGCCCAGGUGAGAUUAGCUAGUUGGUGAGGUAAUGGCUCACCAAGGCGACGAUCUCUAGCUGGUUUGAGAGGAUGAUCAGCCACACUGGGACUGAGACACGGCCCAGACUCCUACGGGAGGCAGCAGUGGGGAAUAUUGCACAAUGAGCGAAAGCUUGAUGCAGCCAUACCGCGUGUGUGAAGAAGGCCCGAGGGUUGUAAAGCACUUUCAAUUGUGAGGAAGGUAGUGUAGUUAAUACCUGCUGUUCUUGACGUUAACUUUAGAAGAAGCACCGGCUAACUCUGUGCCAGCAGCCGCGGUAAUACAGAGGGUGCAAGCGUUAUUCGGAAUUACUGGGCGUAAAGCGCGCGUAGGCGG
rnacentral:rRNA from 1 species